rnacentral:lncRNA from 1 species
GAAUGUUCUAGUAUGUAGGUCAAGAUGGUGAGAAAUGUUGAAAUCAUGGUGCUUGGGGAUGUUGGAGGCAGAAUAACCAUGUGAUCUGAAGAUAGUCACUAGAUAUCUUUAUGCCAUCAAAAGAUCCCAGUGAAGCAAGACAUUCGACAGCAGCUCUGAUCCUUGCCUGCACUUACAAAGGCAUCUUCCCAAGGGUUUCCCUAAGUGGAAAUACUUUCUUACAAGGAAGUCCAAGAACAUCCAGACAUCAUGGAGCUUCCCGCAUGAGUGCCACUGUGAGCCACUGGAGGUCUGCAGUGCCAGAGCUGAGGGCCCUGGGAACCCAAGCAGCCUUUUCAGGGUCCCACGGAGGCCAUCAAACAGCACAAUUUCCACUGUGGCUAUGGAGGAUGUCCCACUUCCAGUCACAUUUGAGCACAGAACCCUCUUUCUCUCAUAAAAAUCAUGACGGAGCACAAAUUUUGGAAUCGUUGGUGCAUUUGAAAGAAAAGAGAUUUUGCAGCCAGUGAAGUUCAUUCAGAUGUGAAUGAACUUCUACAAACAGCAUCAAUCUGCACAAUAAAAUAAGACCAAAGCCCCCAUACUCUCCCUGGCUGUGAUGGUGUGCAGAGAUGAGGGUAAGACCCAUCUUCAGAGGUAAUCCCUGAUUCGUGUGCAGUUACUUCCCUCACACUUUGAGUAAUAAACUCUUUAUACAGAUUACAGUUUUUCCUAGAUAUAUAAAAGGAAUUGGUUCCAGGACCUGCAUGGAUUCCAAAAUCCAAGAAUGCUCAAAUUCCUUAGAUAACAUAGCAUUUGCAUAGAAC